rnacentral:piRNA from 1 species
UCUCUUUGAAAUGCUAGGUCUUGAUGCUCC